rnacentral:misc_RNA from 1 species
UCAACCUCUCAAGCUUGGCUUGUCGUUGGACCUUGCAGAUGCCGGUAAAUCGGCGGCGGUAGGUCUUCAACCUAGUGGCGGAGUUCGGUAUGGGCCCCGGAUACAACGAGCUCUCUAGCAUGUAUCAAGGUGGCCCGCCGGCCUAGCCUCGUCGAAAAGUCUUAACCAU